CUGGGUGUAAGGGCGCGUAGGCGGGGAUGUAAGUCAGAUGUGAAAUUCCGCGGCUUAACUGCGGAGCUGCAUCUGAAACUAUGUCUCUUGAGUGCUGGAGAGGAAAGCGGAAUUCCUAGUGUAGCGGUGAAAUGCGUAGAUAUUAGGAGGAACACCAGUGGCGAAGGCGGCUUUCUGGACAGUAACUGACGCUGAGGCGCGAAAGCGUGGGGAGCAAACAGGAUUAGAUACCCUGGUAGUCCACGCCGUAAACGAUGGAUACUAGGUGUAGGAGGUAUCGACGCCUUCUGUGCCGGAGUUAACACAAUAAGUAUCCCACCUGGGGAGUACGACCGCAAGGUUGAAACUCAAAGGAAUUGACGGGGGCCCGCACAAGCAGUGGAGUAUGUGGUUUAAUUCGAAGCAACGCGAAGAACCUUACCAGGGCUUGACAUCCCUUGAAUGCCCUAGAGAUAGGGAGUCCCUUCGGGGCAAGGAGACAGGUGGUGCAUGGUUGUCGUCAGCUCGUGUCGUGAGAUGUUGGGUUAAGUCCCGCAACGAGCGCAACCCUUGUCAUUAGUUGCUACCAUUAAGUUGAGCACUCUAAUGAGACUGCCAGGGUAAACUUGGAGGAAGGUGGGGAUGACGUCA
rnacentral:rRNA from 1 species